rnacentral:lncRNA from 1 species
AAUUUUAUUGUAUAAAUUUUCGGGAUCAACAAUCGGACCAUGCAAGCUAGAAAUACCUUUUCUUGGAUAAAAGAAGAUAUUACUCGUCCCAUCUCCGUAUCGCUCAUGGUAUAUAUAAUAACUAGAGCAUCCAUUUCAAAUGCGUAUCCCAUUUUUGCACAGCAAAGUUAUGAAAAUCCCCGCGAAGCGACCGGUCGUAUUGUGUGUGCCAAUUGUCAUUUAGCUAAUAAACCCGUGGUUAUUGAGGUGCCACAAGCGGUACUUCCUGAUACUGUGUUUGAAGCAGUUGUUCGAAUUCCUUAUGAUAUGCAAGUGAAACAAGUUCUUGCUAAUGGUAAAAAGGGAGCUUUGAAUGUCGGAGCUGUUCUUAUUUUACCCGAAGGAUUUGAAUUAGCCCCCCCCGAGCGUAUUUCGCCAGAGAUGAAAGAAAAGAUAGGUAAUCUAUCUUUUCAGAGUUAUCGUCCCAAUAAAAAAAAUAUUCUUGUGAUAGGCCCUGUUCCUGGUCAGAAGUAUAGUGAAAUCACCUUUCCGAUUCUUUCUCCGGACCCCACUAUUAACAAGGAUGUUCUUUAUUUUUAAACUCUCCUUCGGGUGUGAUCAAAUUUUUGCAUUGUUAUCGAGACUCAUUCCGUAUGAAGGAAACAGAAGGUAAAUUUGCAUUUCUAAUAAUAAAUUUUUUGCUUUAAUUAUUAGUAUAUUUUUUUUAAAAUAUCUUUAUGAUUGCCCUAAUUGCAAACUAAAGAUCACUAUUAAUUUUUUUACAUUCCACCAUCCAAUUUUCCAUCUUUCGCAUAAAAGGCACAUAAAACUUGUCACCUUUGAAAAUUCAAUCAUCCAUAUUUUCCACCACUUCCAUUCAACUCCUAAUCUUUCCCAUUUCUCAAACCAAAAUAAAAUUUCACAAACAUAAAAAUAAUAAAAAUCUGGUGCUAAAUUAUUUAAUAUAAAUUUAAAUACUAAAAUUCUAAAAAUAAAAAGAUUUAAAGAAGAUGAGAGGAUUAUUUUGGGCUUUCAUAAGGAAAUGCUGCCAAAGGUUCAAAGGGAUUUAAGUAGUCCAAGUGACUCCCCUACUUUCUUGAGAACUACAAUGAAAAUUUUGGUGCUUACAUCAAUGAGACGUUUCUAAGUAAAGUACUUGAUCAACGUUUUUAAGCGUUAUCAAAAUAAUCCGACUAAUGAAUUAAGCAGAGUCGAAUCUCCCAAGGGUCUCUUUAAAUAUCUUACUCAAAGUUAUAAAUAGUACUAAUCGAAAUAUCAAUGAAUGUGGUUUAGGUGCCAUGGCGAUUAAUCAAUCAUAAAAGAAAAUGAAAAUUUGCUUUAAUGUAAACAGGAUUGCAAGAGUGCACGAUGCAAGACUGCACGAUAUAAUGUUUAGCCAAUGAGAGAUGAAACUGCUUAGACGUCGAAUCCCCCUAGGUAAUUCUAAUUCACAUAUGACAGACAAAUUCCACGAUUUACACGAGGAUAGACACAUUACACAGUUGCAAUUCUUCUAUAAUCAAAUCACACCCUUACGAGACCACUAAUUUGGUACCUAUCUAGUAUUUUAGGCCGUUCUUUCGAGACAAAGAUCUAAAAUCCGCUAGGUGAUUUACCAAUUUAGAAUGGCUCACCACGACAAACUAGUUCAUUCGCUCCCAGAUGAGGGUUAAAGUUUAACCUAGUUAUUUGAUUUUGAUGUUCUAGAUAUGCAAACUCUCACAAGUCUAAGACAAAUCUAAUAGAUCUUCAUUCAAGUUUAUCAGGUAAGAACAAGUGGAAAACGAAAUCAAAUACGCAAUAAAAUUCAUCUAACUCACUUAAAUUGACAAAUGUAUCAUAUCAUUCGUUCAUAAGAAUUAACCUAUGGUUCAUCUAAUCUAAGCAAGAGUAGUUUAGCUACUCAUAAUCUCGAGGGAAAAAUCGAGAUCAGAAGAGGAAGACAUUGAAUCUAGGUUUACACAAAGAAAUAUGAAAAACUAAUUUCGCCGAUCUUCCCGAGAACUUGAUUCACCGAUUGAUUACUUUCCCGAUUCCGAGCUCCUUGAAGUUGUUGUUUUGUUGCUCUCAAAUCUCUCAAUAAUAAUCUCAAUUUUGUCUGGGAAAAUCUAUCUGAGAAUGGGAUAGAAUUGGGCUUUUAUAGAGGCGAUUCCUUAGGACUAGCAGACACCAAAAGUGCGCCGCACACUUUUGGGUUUUCUAAGGCACAUUUUUGGUCUAAAUGUCAAGGAUCGGAACUUCACAUAACAACCAAACAUGCGCGUAACCAACCAAAACUGCGUCGCACACUUAUCGUAUGGUUAAGGCGCACUUUCGGUAUAAAGCCAGACUUGGUGAUUUUUUCAUUCUUUGAUGCAUCCAGCUUCUCCUUGCACAUCAUUACAACUACGAAUAAUGCCCCGAUAUCGUUGUGUUCCUGAAGUUGAUCAGAAACACUACAAAACAACAUCAAAUGGACCCCGAACGGGCCUAAGACACUAAAUCGAGGUAAAAGUUAGAAAUGCAUGAAAUAUCCUAAACUUCUACCCAACACUGUACAAAUAUUCAUGAAAUAUUGCUUAAAUGAGGACGAUGAACACGACAAAUCAAGUGUCAUCAGUACUCCAUAACCUUCCCGCUCAACUUUUUUAACACAUAAACACUCUUUGUGUCUGUCUCUCUCUCUCUCCUUUUAAAACUUCCAAAACUAAAGCAAAACGAAUUCAUUCUCUCUUCUCCCCUCUCUCCACUCCAUCUUCCAAACUCCUAUUUGGUCAAAUGAAUGAUGCCACAUAUCACUCCACAAUUUGCUAACCUUCUUCUUGAAGACGUUGCAAUUGCACCUACGGUUCCCGGUAGUACGUAUUCUGAGGACGAGUACUCCGACAAAGAUCAUCUAAGAAUUUCCACUAAAGAUACCUUCACCAUGGGUUAAGAGAAGACAAUUGGUGAUUAUGCGAAACCAAGUCUCUCUAACGUGGGGUCUUCCAUCACCCGACCUCGUGUUGAAGCCAAAAAUUUUAAAUUGUGACCCGCUAUGAUCAACAUGGUCCAGCAAACAGUGUAAUUAUUAUUGAAAAAGGAAGAUAAUCCCCGUAACCAUAUCAAAGACUUCCUUGAAAUCAAUAACAAUUUACAAGUCCAACAGGUGCGCCCAGAUUCCAUUCGCCUCUGGUUUUCCCUUUCUCUCUUAAACGAGUUUGUCCUCAAACAGUGGGUAGUUUUACCACCCGGGACGGUCUCAUCGAAGCCUUUCUGAAAGAAUAUUUUUCUCCAUGGAAGCGUGAUGAUAUCAAAGAGAGAAUUAUCAAUGUCAUGCAACGUGAUAAUUAAAUUUUUUUAUUAAGCAUGGAUUUGAUUCCAAGCUCUCCUCCUCUCAUGCACUCAUCACAGGUUUUGAUGACCCCAACCAAGCGUCGAUCAAGAAAGCAUGAUCAACCAGACUGUUGGUGGUGAUAUUUGUAGUCCUACUCUGACUCGUGCUCUUGAUCUCUUCCAAUAGUAUCUAUCAAAACUCAAAGUUGGGCUAGAUGAUGUGGUAACCAAUAUAGUACCCUGCCUACUACUUCAUCCUAUGCCAUUAGUCAUGAAACCCUUUGGACCGCUCUUGUUCCCAUUCUCUCUCAGGUGCAUCCUCUUUCUUAACAAGUGAGAAAACUGACCAUCGAGACCCUACAUAAACCUACAUCAACAAUUUGUGUCAAUGAUGCAUGCGAGGACGAAGGACAUGAUUAUGCUGACUGUUACUCUUACAAUACUUCUCCCGACAAAAAUAAGUUGACUUUGUGGGUGGUGAUUACCCGUAAAUUGCAAAAUCAAGGAAACUCUAGGCCUUUCCAAUACUCUUACCAAGUCAACCGUCUUACCCAAUUCUCGGGUCUGGCACACCAGGAAAACAUUCAUGCUCUUUCCAUAACAAUGAAUUUCAAUUGAACAAUCUUGCCAUAAUGCUGAGUGAGAGACUGCAAGGCUCUCGCCCGAGCAACACUGAAAACAAUCCUAGGCAAGAGGAAUAAAAUACAAUCUUUGUUACUAUUGAAAGAUUUGACACUUCCGAAUCUUGUGAAGCUGUCACCCGCAAAAGUAGAAUCACCACUAAGGAUCCUCCAAUUACUAAGUCCACAAAUGCCACCAACAUAAAUGGAAAUCCUGUUGUCGCACAAGUCCACUCGGACAUCUUGCGGAAUCUUGAGAGAUGUAGUUGUGCUAGUUGGACCUUAUGUCUUUCUGGUUGACGUUGUUAUCAUUGAGACCAAUAUAUUAUAUGUCUCCCUCAUUCUUGGCUGUCCAUUCUUAAAAAAUUCUUGUGCUAUCAUCGAUGUGCACGGUGGCAAGCUUACUUUUCGAGUCGGCCAAGGAAAAGCCAUAUUUUGUCUUUUUGACGGGAUGCAAUAUGUCGAUGUUUAGGAUAACCCAAACUAUUUUGAUGACUUCGCUGAAGUUGGAUUAGUAUUCUUCCUAUCUAGUGGCCUCUGCUAAGACCCACUUGAGUGGUGCCUCUAUGCAUGUUUUUGGGAUGCGUUUGACAAGGAAUAACAACUUGAGCAGGUUUCCAUGUUGGAACCUGAAGGACAGGAGAUUGACUGUACUCCCGAGCCUCCGGUAAAGGUACCAAGGAUGGAACCCACUACCUGAACACCUCCAGUAUGCUUUUCUGAUGGAUGACUUGAAGACACUUGUCAUCAUCAAUACCUCCCUUAGUCCGGAACAAAAGGAAUGUCAUAUCACUCUUUUGAAAAAUAUAUAAUGUUUGAGUCAUUUCUCCAUCCUUUUGUACGCACAAAAUUCUGAUGGAAGAGGAAUACAAGCCAGUUGUGAAUCCAAACAUGAAUGCAAUGGUAAAAAAGGAGGUGAUGAAAUUGCUUAACGAUGCAUCUAUCCCAUCUCUAAAAGCCCAUGGUUUAGGCUUGUGCAAGUAGUGCCAAAGAAAGGGGGCAUGGCAUUGGUCUUAAAUGAUAAUAGCCAAUUAAUUCCUACUUGAACCAUUAGUGGUUAAAGAGUCUGUAUAGACUAUCGCCGGCUGAAAGAUGCCACCGUGAAGGACUAGUUUCCUCUCCCUUUCAUUGAUCAAAUACUUGAUCGCCUAUCUGGUCAUUCUUAUUACUACUUCCUAGACGAGAGUUUCGAUUACUUAUAAAUACCCAUUGAACCGAAAGAUCAAGAAAAGGCCACCUUCACUUGUCCCUAUUGUAUCUUCGCGUAUCUUAGAAUACCAUUUGGUAUGUGCAAUGCACCGAUGACUUUUCAAAGGUGUAUGAUGGCCAUUUUUUAUGAAUUGGUGGAGGAUGUGGUUGAAGUCGUUAUAGACAUCUUUUCCGUCUAUCUAGAUUCAUUCUCCCACCACCUUAAGAACAUGGAAAAAGUGCUCAUCUGUUGUCAAGAAACACAGUUGGCUCUUAGUUGCGAGAAGAGUAAUUUUAUGGUUCAAGAGGGCAUUUCUUGGCCAUAAAAUCUCCUGACAUGGGAUAAAGGUCGAUCAAGCGAAGAUCAAGACCAUCUCUCAUCUACAUCCCCCCACUUAUGUCAAAACCAUUCGGAGUUUCCUUAGUCACGCUAGAUUCUACCGAUGUUUCAUAAAGGACAUUUGAAACAUAACUCUUCCCUUAACAAAGCAUUUUUAAAAGGAUGUUGAGUUUCAGUUUUUUGAAAAAUACCUUUUGCUUUUAAGUUCUUGAAGGAGAAGCUAAAAAUGCUCCCAUCAUUGUGGCUCUUGAUUGAACACUCCUUUUCAAACUAAUGUGUGAUGCUAGCGAUUUCAGGCAACAAAAGGAAAAAUGUUUCCACCCUAUCUAGUAUGUAAGUAAGACGCUCAAUGAUGUGCAACAUAACUACACCACCACUAAGAAGGAACGGUUGGCUAUUAUUUUCAAAUUUCAUAAGUUCCAAUGAUACCUCAUACUAUCUCACAUGGUAGUCUUCACUGGUUACCAAGCACUGAGGUGUCUUUUUGUAAAACCCAAUGCGAAGCCAUAAUUAAUCUAGUGGGUCUUGCUGCUGCAAGAAUUUGACAUUGAGAUUUGUGAUAAGAAGGGUGUAGAAAAUGUCACAGCAUACCAUUUAUCUAGACUCAAAGGUCCAGAAGCAUCUCCCUCGACUGGGAUUUAGAUCAAUGAUUCGUUUCCUAAACAACAUUUUUUAGGGUAGUUGCUCAAGAAUUGGAAAGUCCUUCGUUUGAAAUAUUUGCCAACUAUUUGGCUACCGGUUAACUUCGUAAGGAUAUUUCAUGGAAAGAUAAGUGGAAGUUCUUUGACGAUCUUAAGCACUAUUUUGGUAUGACCCUUUUCUCUUCCACAUAUGGCCCGAUGGAGUCAUUCGUCAUUGUGUCACAAUUUCUUAGGCACACAACAUAAUCUGAUACUGCCAUUCAUGACUAACCAACGGCCACCACAAUUGUAACCAAACGACAAGAAAGGUUAUUGUGAAACCCGCCCCUAGACGACCCGGUCGAAUCGCCAUGCAACGACUCGCAAGUGCGACUAAAUCAACAUAAACAUAGAUACAUACAUAAUCAGAAAGCUAACUCAUGAAACUCCUCAUAAAUCAAGAAAACGACAACGUACAAAUCAGAUCAGCAAUGGCUCAACAUUAAUACCCAAAAUAACAUAAAACCAUCACGAAACAAAGGAGACAAACAUCCAGAGGUAAGGUAUUUGAAAAACAUAUUGAAAAUCCUCAAAAAUAAAAAAGGGUAAAGGGUCCUCCAAGGUACCUCUCUCUACGACUUUAAGAGCCACUUAGUUAAGGUAUCAGGCCUACUCGUAAGUUCCUCUUAGAAGGCAUUGACUUUUGAGGUUCCACCAUCGUACAUGCAAAGAAGAAUGGGAUGAGGUUAGUGAUAAGCACUGAGUGGAUAGUAAGACUCGCUUAGAACUGAGACUGACAUCUAAUAAUGUGACCCUGGUCCUAUAAGUAUCUACCUAGAAUCAACCACCCCUAACUAUAUGUGGAUAGCCUCAUGGUGGAUUAUACCAUGAAACCACCCAUGAAUACUAUAUGAGCAGCAUAUACAUGGAUGCUCUACACGUCCUGCCUGAAACAGAAAUAUCAACUGAAGGCUUGCGCAAUCCCGAGGUGGGUGACCGAUGCAUCAUAGUCAAGAACUAGCCUAGGAGGCAUAUCCUGUAUUGUACUGCCAGGAACUGUGGAUCACACGCCACAGUUGAUAAGUUAAGAAGUUAUGCUCGAUACAUGCUACAUAAUAUGUACUGUACAUCACAAGAUUUUGUACAACUUCAGAGCCCUGCUCUAUAUCAUGAAUUGAUAAUAUAUACAAUAGAUCACACGCUAGUGUAAAGCCUAAGAGUCUUUCUCUAUAUCACAUCACACCAUCUGUAUAGUAAAUCACACGUUACUGUACACAUUGAAAGCCCUGCUCUAUAUCACAUGAGAAAUCCAAUCAUUGGAUUCGUGAGCAUGCUAUUACAGUUCUACGCAUAUAAGCAGAAUGCAAUCCUAAUCCCCCACCUCUGAUUAGCUUCCUGGUAGAUUCUGAACCGUACCUACCUUUGUCAAGCUCAAGCCUCCUGUCCUGAAUGACCUGAAGAUAUCAAUCGUUGGAUUGAAAUCCCAAAACCCCAAAUCCAAAAACUGCCAGGAUUUUCUUAUGUGAGUUUCAAUCAAAAAGAUUAAGAGAGAAGAAGAAGAGUGGUACCUUCCGAUGGUUCUCCCAGCCUCUCUAACCCUCUCUCAAUGAUUUGGGAUCGACCAGCUCUAUCUUCUCCCCUUAAUUGGUAUUCUCCACCCCUUGAGAGAGAGCAUCGUUCGUCAGACAAUUUUAGGUAUUUGUUUCUGUAAAUUUUGAGUUGCCGGUCUCAGAUCUGGUUUUAUUACUAGUCCACCACUUUCGUGGCGGACUUACCACCAUGCCCAUGACUGCUUGACAACCAUGCUCGUGAUCUAAUGAUGGUCACAACUGUGAUGAGUCAAGCUCAUGACUGGCUGCUAAUCACGGCCAUGGUUGACCUAGCAACCACUCUUGUGAGAGGCUCAUGAUCACGCCUGUGAUCGUCCACUCUUCAGCCCAAAACCCAAUAGACUCAGACCCAAAAAACGGUUGAACAGUUGAAUCAAAAUUGGGGUGUUACAGUUCUAUAGUCUGUAUUUUUAUAGCCUUUGAUCUUUAAAGAUAAUGACCUAUUCACAAAGACCUUUGACGCGUUUCAACGCGCCGACUAUAUCUCACUGCGUAAUGAAAUGUCUUAGACGGUUGGAAAAUUGCUCCAACGUUUUUUCACUUGGUUUGGAGCACAUCAAGCUAUCAUCAGCGAUCGAGGAACUCACUUCCAGGGGAAGUUUGAUCAUGUGUGUUGCCGCUUUGGUGUCACUCAUUGUCUGUCCACUAAUUACCACCCAAAGACUAGUAGUCAAGCAGAGGUGACGAACCAAUAACUCAAGCAGGCAUUGGAGAAAACCGUGACCCAAUCUUGCACGGAUUGGUAAAAAAUGUUGGACAAUGCUCUUUGGGCAUAUCAAAGGGAUUUUAAAACUCCUAUCAUCCCUACACCUUACUGUCUCAUCUACGGAAAGGUAUUCCAUAUUCCUGUUGAGUUAGAGCAAGGUAGUUUAGGACUUGAAGUCUCUAAACCAUAACACAAAUUAGGUUGAACGACCAUACUCCAAGCAUAUCAUUCAUGUCAUCAAAUAUGUUGAACCGUAUAAUCUUAGGAGUAAUCAUGGAAUAAUCAUAUCUCCAAUGCAAAAUAACUAGCUACACAUGGUCUCCAAAGAGGAAGGGGAGAAACAGGGAAAACUUAGUCAAACCCAAUGGGUCAAUAGGGGAUUAACUAGCUCCGAACUUCACUUUGAUCUUUCAAUCUUCAAUCCAAUGCUCCUAGCUUCAUUGACCUUUAAUUUGAUCUUUUAUUGUGUCUUCUAGGGUUCCAAUGACAGUGGGAGAAGAGGGAAAAACUCACCCCAAGUCAAAUGGAUCAAAAUGGCCCGUUUGAGAAAACAUGAGCGCAACAUUGAUUCCAAGCGAAACUAGGUACCAAUAUCGGUCAUAUAUGUCGAAACGAGUCAAAAGAUAGUCAAGGUGGGUACGAUUAUCACCACAUUAUGGGGUGACACCAAAUUACCCCACACGUGAACAUUUCUCGUCCUCAAACAAUCAUGUUAAUCACAUUCUAAUAGGAAAAUAUGUGGGAUAGGAAAAACAAGGCCCCGCACUUCAAGCCUACUUUACGAUGUCAAAGGUGCAAGUGAAUCACCAAACCACAAAAUUAUGUACAAGACACUGAAUUCCUUAUACUAGUAAAAGAUGGACUUGUGCAUAUUGUACAAAUGACCUGACACCUAACCGCCAGAGUGUAUCAAACAUCUCCCUAAACACUUAUGUCAUUAGGGUAAUAGUGAAAGAAACUACAUUGACGGUCGGUCCUGGUCGGGUUUGCCCGUCUUGAGGGAAGGGGUGCUUUUCAAAAUAUUGUGAUAAAUCAUUAAAACACAAGGUACCCCCUCUCUUAUUUUGGUCUCACUUGCUUGAUUAUUGUCUUUAGGACUUUGUGGAGAUCUUCUUCUCUUUUUCUUUUCUUUUUGAUAUUUUUUUUUGUAUGGGUUGCUUUUUCCCAAUAGGGAUAAUUAUGACUCUAUCCAUCCAUUCUUGGAAAUAACCAUUCUCUGGCCCAUGACCAAUGCCUUGAAAGGGUUAGGAAGAUGGUGGACCCUAAGGGUUGCCCUGCGUGUUUAAGUUGUAACCAAACCCCUAUGAGAUUUGUUGGACUCAUUGGUCUCUUUAAGCGACCUCAUUCUUAAAAUCGACCCAUCUGUUUUGUCUUUUUAUCACCAAUAGGAAAACUCGUUUAAGAGGAUACAACAUACACCACAACAGAAGUUGGCAAUCCAUAUGUAUCAUUUGUAUGAGUCCCUAGUGUACUAGGUUUAGGAAAAUGGGAAGUGGUUCACAAAUGAAAUCCUAAACACCGUACUCAUCCACAAGUAGUAUGGGAACAUAAUACUAAGCAUGAAUCCACUAAUAUCCACAAAAUCAAGUUCGAGAGUGACUUUUAAAGAGAAAACGAGAACAAGUAUACAAAUAUGCACACGAGUAACCCACAAGAUGGAAGAACAAAGAAACCAUGGCAAGCAAUACCCCAACCCACAUCUAAACAUCACAUUGUUCUCAAUGGGACCAAACAAUAAGGAGAAUAAGGAAUAUGUUACAUCCCGAUCCUAGCUAACAAAAUUAUGUUAGGGAAUUCCUAAACUAUCCCAUAGAAAGUCUAGUAUAAAAGAAAUAUGUUAUGAGAAUAUUAGUACUCUUAUGUGAAUUAUUGUAUUAAUCCUUGCUGUGUUUAGUUGCAUCUAAUUUAUGCACUAAGGUUUGCUUGAUUCAGAAUUAAUUAGACUCAGUAUUACAUUUGAAUUAUGUUACGAUAUGUUAGCAGUUAUUAAUGAGUGUAUUGCUUAGUUUCUUAUGUCAUGUCUAAUGUUGUGAUAAUUAGAAGUAAUUAUUAACUUAAGUUUCCAAUAUAAGAUGUGAUAAAUUGUUGCUUGAUGUGCAUAUCACACCCAUAGGAAAAACCUAUCAAGAAUGUGCGAUAGUAAUUGCAAUUGUGGGAUUCACGUUAUUAUUAAAUAAGUAUGAAACAUGUUAUGUGACCAUAUGCCAUGUGCAAGUGGCUCCUUGAUUUCAUGUUACUAUGCUAGGGUAGGAAAUGCGAUGACCGGUUAGCUCAUAAAUCUUUAGAAAUUAAUUUGAAUGGAAUAAAGAUGGUGACUAGUAAGAAUUUAAAGUCCCCAACCGAAAUUGGACCACAAAGUCAGUUGUAGCCUAGUGGUUAAGUGUUUGAGCCCUUAGUGAAGAGAUGGCGAGUUUGAUUUCGAAAUUUUUUUAGGCUAUAUUAAAUCGGAAAUUACGUAGAUAAUCAAAUCGAAACCUUAAUUACAUAAAAUGGCAAUUAUCACCACUUACAACAUGCAGUGCGUCAUAGGACACGCAGCGUGUCUUAGGUGGCCUCUAACAUCUAGUUUCUAAUGGCCGGGGGGGGGGGGGGGGAAUGUUAUGAAUAAAUUUCGCCACCCCGAUGAGUCAAAGGAUUUGUUCACCUACUUCGGAGAAGAAAUGAAGUACGAUUGCGGAUUUUGUGCACCGAGACUGAUGACGCUGAUGUUCGAGAAAUAGUUCAAUUGUCCUUUCUAUAAGUGUAGGUUUGAGAAGAAGUUGGAGGUGGUGUUGGCUGAUAACUCGGUGAGGCGUGAGAUGCGAGCUACAAUGGAGGCAAAGCUUGCUGAGAAGGAUGUUGAGAUUGAAGCUAUUCAUGCUGAGAUGGCGCAUGAUUGUUUCAAAUGGCAACGGGAGAGGAUAGACAUCAUACGGUCAAAGGAUAGGUUCAUCGAGGCAAUUAGUGACGACUUGAAGGAUGAAAAUACGAAGCUUAGGUUUAGGGUGGUGUAAUAUUUACAUACCUUUUAUUCAAUGUUGAAUGAAAGAAUUGAUCGUUUGUAAUAAAUUGGUUGUGUUUCGAAUUGUUUUAGUUAAUGAAACAAUUUUUAUCCUAACUGUCAAAAGCUGAGUUACUGAUAAUUUUCUGGUCAAAAGAUGCCAAAGCUGUUUGAAUCCUGCCGCAAGCAGUAUGUUUCGAUCAAAAGAUGCUAAAGUUGUCUGUAGUUUUUUAGCCAAAAGCUGUACAACCCGUGGUCAAAAGCUGGCACUGUUGCCUAAAGCUAUUACCAGCUGUAAAUGUGAUGGGGAAUCUUGUAGAUGAUUGGAAGUAAUAUGCUGGUUGAGGGAAUAUGUUGUGGCAUAUCCUGCUGUAAUAUUACCCUCUCCCGUCUAUUUCAACACAUACCUCCAUUGCUCACAACUCACAAAUUAUGAGCACCAAUUUGUAACUCAUUCUGCCUACUUUACUUCUCCUCUCUAUCCUUCUGAAUAGAAAAUGGUUGAGUUCGCCUUCAAUCUUCAAUGGGGGGGGGGGUGGGAAUCUCUUUUACCCGAAUAUCAGAGUUGAGUAUGCUGGUGGUCAUUCCCGGAGAGUGAACUUGAGUUCAGCCCCAACAUUCGCCUGAGCCAUUCCCGUUUUCUUCAAGAAAAUGAAGACCCCAUCGGAGGCCAUCCUCGGAACUGUGUACUAUCGCCAAACUAUGGUAGCCAGCGACACUAUUGCUGGUAUUGCCUCCGGCCGUGCACCGAUGAAGAGGCUUGAGGAGCCGUCGACUACAUGGUAAAUACCUUCCCUAUGUGCAAAAUUUGGAGUUGUAUUUGAGUUCAAAGGUCCAAUCGACAAAGUUUAAGGCUUAGUUGGUCAAUCCUCAACGACUGGGUACUUUGAACCCUCUGGUUCAUAGAACAUUGACGAGCUGUCACAGUGCGGCGUAUAACCCACCGAUGAUGCCGUGGAUGAAGACGAUGUUGACGAUGAGCCAGAGUACGAUCCGACUAACAACAAUGGGGAAGGGGAAGAUGACCAGGCCUCGAGGGAGGACAGCGACGGUACGCCGAUUGGCCUCUCCAUCCAGAGGGGGAAGAUGCUGAUGUUAUAAUCGGUGCGGGCGCUACAACAUCUUCUCGUGCCCUACUCCGUCUGAUCUGUACACAACGUUGGGGGACAAUAUGGACCAGGUAAUGACGGUAGACGACUAAGAGGGUGGCCCUGAUAUCUCGAAUUUCAACUCCACCCGUCAACAUUUUUACACCGACCAGCGGUUUACACAAAGAAGGAGGCAAGUCUUGCUGUUAAUCACUGUGCCUUUCAUAACAAUCGAGCUCUAAUGACGUCUUGUUCAAAGACUUGGGAGUUGAAGGUCAGAUGUUAUUCGUACGAAACAAACAACUACCCAUGGAGGUUACACGUCACUAGCAGCACAGACGACGGUUUCUGGACGGUUCGGUUGUGGAAUCCACAACACACAUGUGACGGAAGCGAGCACAACAUAGAAUCUACCAAACCGGAUGUGAACGUCAUUGCGGAUGCCGUGAUGCACCUAGUUUGGUCAAGGCCACACCUUUUUGGAUCCGUCUGAUCUAAGAUGUGAUUUCACAUCUUUUCCAACGUCAGAUGUCGAACAGAAAGGCGUGGUAUGGGAAUCAGAGAGCUAUGGAGAUGAUCUAUGGAAAUUGGGAGGAGUCUUACAACAAGCUUCAAUAUUUCUGUAACGAAGUGCAGAGUUGUAACCCUGGCACUCACGUCCAGUUCCGCUUUGAUGACUUAAUCGGUGGUGUCGUUGUUCGGAGGCAAUUUUUUCUGUAUUCUGGAUCUUCCGGCCGUGCAUUAAAGGGUUCCGAAAUUAUCUACCUAUCGUAGUUGUUGACAUCACCUUCCUCACCAGGAAAUAUUUUGACGGUCGCCGUAGCCAUCAUCGACAAAGAGAGCAUUGACACCUAGGCGUGGUUCCUCUAUUGCAUCCAAGAGCUAGUGACAGACAGGCAGAACGUAUGCGUCAUCUCAUAUCGUCAUGUCGGACUUAGAGCUGCAAUGGACCAAAUUGGUGGGGGCUGGGUCUGGAGAUAGUGCAGCCAACACUAUGAAAGCAACUACAAUAGCCAUGUGAAGAACCCCAACAUGAAGGCACGACUGAAGUCCAUAGGUAAAUUUCCCCUCACACAUGUUGCAAGAAAUACGCGGCAGACAUUCGUGCUAAUGAAUAUUGAACUGAGAGGUGUCAUGCGACUAUCCGUUUGGGCGAUAUGAAAAAUAAUAUCACGAUAAGUUUGGGUCAUCUCUUUCAUUAGAUGUUACCGCUUUCUUAGGAUUUAAUUUUGGGGGGAUGAUAAGCUUUGUACCCGAGCUUAGGUGAAACUUAGAAAAAUCAAAGGUAGUAUGCGCACUGCGGGUCAUAAAUCGACACAGUUUGUGAACCUUCUCUCUAGGGAACACCCCACCUUUACAUUAGUAUCAAUAGAAACAUGCCAAAGCCAACCCUAAGUCCUAGAGCCUCUCCCCCGCUAUAUCAGCAAAAUUGAACCUAGGUGAAUGUACUAACCCAAUGUGUACUAACCCUUGGCUGACUAACAUCCCACCCGAGAUUGCACGGAUACCACAUCCGAAAAUACGUGCAUCCAUCAUGAACAUCAUAUCAUCAAUUUCAAAACUAUUUUAUAAUGUGCGUCGGAUCCCAACUCACGCAUAAUACGAGGGUAGGAUUCAAGCGUACAUAAUGAAUGCACUUGGCGUUUACGCAUAUGCAUCAAAUCAUUUUACACAAAGGGCAUCUUGUUGUGUCGUGAGUAUCAUGAUUUAAAACCAGCAUAUAAUGUAAGCCAAGACUCGAGCCAUACACCUACUGUGUUGAGAAGGUCCAAGCGCACAUUCAUACAUGUGCUUUGCAAAUUGGUGACGCCAUUUUAAAAACUAUGCAUUUCAAAUGCCUUUGAAAAAGAGUUCAAAAACGAGGUUUGAGAAACUCGAGGUUCAUAGGGGAAAAGCUCACCGCAACCAUUCGUUCGAUGGCAUCCAUAUCAGAGCAUACCAUUAUAGCGCAUUCCAAGAAAGCUAAAUGACAGGAACCAUCAACAACGAGAUAUGCUCAGAUUUAGACUAGUUAAGGGACACAAAUGCGGAUCUACAAGUUCUAAUCAACGAAUUGCUUGAAGCACUCCCAUGUGGCUACGAUGAUUCAAGUUUAGAGCUCACAAACGGACAAAAAAAUUCAAGAAGCCUAUGGAGGGAGUCAAAGGACUCGACGCAUACGAAGCGACCAAGGCAUUUCGACAUCAUUUGGUACCAAUGAUGGUCAUGCAACCAAAGUUUGAAGUGCCUGAUUUCAAAAGAUUCGGAGGCAUCACUUGCCCUCAAAUCUACUUGGCCAGGUAGUACGACCAAAUGACAGGAUACAUGCAUGAUGAUAAGCUAAUGAUACAUUGCUUCCAAUAUAGCUUGGAUAUAGCAUCCCAAAGGUGGUACGCAGGCCUCGAAAGCUCGAAAAUCAAGACAUGGCAAGUCCUGGUCGAAGCUUUCAUAAGAAAUUACAAGCACAACCACGACUUAGCCCCAAACAGAGAGGACCUAAAGAAUAAAAAGAAGAAAGAUGGUGAGAGUUUCCGAGAGUGUGUCCAUAGAUGGAGGGACGUUGCCGCUGAAGUUCAACCACCACUAGCUGACAAGGAAAUGAUCUCGAUUCUCCUUGAGACCCUCCGAGCUCUGUUCGAGAAUAACAUACUCAGAAACAUCACUACCAAUUCCCUUGACUUGCAAAUUAUCUGAGAAAGCAUAGAGAAAGGCCACUUCUAAGGAUCAAAGCCCAUCCAAGCAAGAAAGUGCAUCCAUCACGAAAGAAGGAAGAGAUACGUGUUGCUCGUAAGGGCAGGAUGGGUGAACAUGUUUCCCGAGGAAAAGGAUCGCCCUGACAUCAACAAGGUCCCGAUGUCGAAUCAUCAAACUUGUGUGACCGCAGGGAAAGUAAUGACCGUGGGCUCACUUUUCGAAAUAAUAAAAGUACUUGGAUGUUUUGAGUUGAGCAUUUCCCCUUUGUGUGUUUGUAUUAAACUCUGAAUUUCAAAAUGGUGUUCUACGUGAAACACACUAAAUAAAAGUCAUUUUCUUUCUAGCAUUCCGUGUCAAAACCGCAUUCAUUUUUCCUCGCAUUCUUUUCUCCAUACGAACUUUGGCAAGAUAACUGAGACGGGUAGGAGGAAUAAUAAUUAUCAUGACUUCGAAAUUAACUUCGAUAAUCCGAUUUGUGAAACGAAAACCGGGGAUGAAGAGGAAAUUGGGGAAGAAGUACGGUUGGACACCGUUUGGAUCUUGGAAUAGGAGGAAAGGAGUCUACAAUCCUUCUACCACUUGUUCAAGACAACUAAUUUGGGUACAUACGAGAUUAAGAAAGAGGUUAAGAUAGGGGAUGAGCUAAGCCCAAUAGAACGGGAGGAGCUAAUUCAACUAUUGGGGGAAUAUCAGGACAUCUUCGCAUGGUCGUAUCAGGAUAUGUUGGGUUUAGACGGAAGUAUCAUCACACAUUGCUUACCUAUCAUGGAGGGGUAGAAACCCGUGAAACAUAAGCUUCGAAGGUCGAAAAUCAAGUGGCUUCUGAGGAUUAAAAAGGAAGUUAAGAAACAAUAUGCGGCCAGCUUUCUCCAAGUAACCGGUUACUCAGAAUGGGUGGCCAAUAUCGUACCAGUCCCUAAAAAGAAUCGAAAGGUGCGAAUGUGCGUUGAUUACCGGGACUUGAAUCGAGCAAGGCCGAAGGAUAGCUUUCCCCUACCCCACAUCGACGUGCUCGUCGAUAAUACGGUGAGCCAUCAAGUGUUCUCGUUCAUUGAUGGUUUCUCUGACUACAAUCUAAUGAAGAUAUAACUUGAGGACUGGGAGAAAACUUCGUUUACCACGCUCUGGGAACUUUUUGUUAUAUCGUGAUUCCAUUCGGAUUUACAAAUUUUGGGAAGCAUAUCAAAGGGUAGUGGUCACUCUUUUCACGAUAUGAUUCAUAAAGAAAUCGAAGGAUAUGUGGAUGACAUGAUCGCUAAGUCCAAAAGCUAGGAGGAUCACAAGGAUACCCUCUUGAAAUUAUUCAAAAGACUAAGGAAAUAUAAGCUUCGACUAAGUCCGGAAAAAUGCACCUUCGGAGUUAUGUCAGGAAAACUCCUCAGAUUCAUAGUAAGCGAGAGGGGCAUUGAGGUGGCUCCAAAUAAGGUCAAAGGCAUUGCCGAAAUGCCACCACCUCAGACACAAAAGCAAGUGCGUGGGUUUCGGGGCGGCUGAACUACAUUUAUCGGUUCAUUUCGCACCUAACCCCAACAUUUGAGCCCAUCUUCAAACUCCUCCGAAACAACCAACCAUAUAAGACCACUACUCUUGUACUUAACGGUCUUCAAAAAUUUGGUAGGAACUAUGCUAGCCCUAACUGACUAGUCAGGGAAAAAGGAACACACUAUUUACUACACUAGUUAGAAGUUCACCGAUUAUGAGUCUCUAUACACGGACCUCGAAAGGACGUGUGGAGCGUUGGUAUGGACAGCCAAGAGAUUAAGGCAUUACAUGUUAUACUACACGACACACCUCUUUUCAAAGGUCGAUCCCAUGAAACACAUCUUCGAGAAACCCGCUCUUACAGGUUGCCUAGCAAGGUGGCAGGUUCAGCUAGCCGAUUACGAUAUCCUGUACGGCCAAAAAAGUAAUGAAAGGAAAUCCGAUAGCUGACCACUUGGCGGAAUACCCAAUAUCUAACUUGGACUCUUUAGUCUCGGAGUUCCCUGACGAGAGUAUUUUGAUCAUGAACAAAACACAACCUUGGAUCAUGAAAUUUGACGGGGCAUCCAAUGCCCUCAGAUACAGUCUAGGUCCAAUGCCCUCUGAUACAGUAUAGGUGUGGUGUUCUUGUCCCCCAAUCGAAAAAUGUACCCCAUCACCGCCAAGUGGACGUUCUACUAUACUAACAACGUCGCCGAGUACGAAGCAUGUUCCCUUGGUAUCUGAUAAGCCAUAGAAAUGGGGAUUAAGAAACUCAAAGCCUACAGAGACUCUUUACUCGUUAUCUAUCAGUUGAGGGGAGAAUGGGAAAUGUAGGAUGAAAAGCUUAUACCCUACCAUAAACACAUCAAGGUAAUGAUGGAAAGCUUCUAUAGCAUUGAGUUAGAGCAUAUAUCGAGGACCGAUAACCAAAUCACGGAUGCCUUGACUACGCUAUCAUCUAUGCACAUGUUGGGAGACCAAGACAUUAUUCCCCAAAUUUAGAUCCAAAAGCAAGAGGACCCAUCCUAUGUAGCUAGUGUAGAAGAGGAGUCAGACGACAAACCAUGGUACCAUGACAUAAAACCUACUUCCAAAGCAAAGGAUACCCACCAUGGGCAUCAGAAAAUGACAAAAGGACUAUUCGGAGACUCGCUCUAGGGUUCUACAUUGAUGGAUCGACCCUCUAUAAAUGAAACCAUGAUCUUACCCUCCUUUGAUGUGUAGACGUUAAAGAAGCAAGGUAAAUUGUCGAGGAAGUUCACGAGGGUAUUUGUGGCACUCACUCCGGUGGACACGCCAUGGCCCAAAAGAUCCUAAGGACAAGAUACUAUUAGACUCGUAGGGAAUCGGACUACAUCACAUAUGUUCGCAAGUGUCACAAAUGCCAAAUUUACGCUGAUGAACUUCACGCGCCACCAACCUCCUUGAAUGCAAUGUCAUCGCCUUGGACGUUCACCGUCUAGGGCAUCACUGUAAUAUGAAUGAUUGAACAAAAAGCAUCGAACGAUCACCGAUUCAUCCUAGUCGCCAUCGACUAUUUUACCAAAUGAGUAGAAGCAGCCUCAUACGUCAGUAUAACCAGGAGUGUAUUAGUUAAGUUCAUUAAGAGGGAAUUCAUCUUCCGGUACGGACUUCAUAAGAGAAUCAUUACAGAUAAUGCCAAAAAUCUCAAUAAUAAGAUGGUGAGUUCAAGAUCAAACACCACAACUUGGUCCCUUAUAGGCCUAAAAUGAACAGGGUAGUCGAAGCCGCUAAUGAGAACAUAAAAAAGAUAGUGCAUAAAUGCUCAUCACAUACCGAGAUUGGCACGAGAUGUUACCAUUUUCAUUUCAUGGAUAUCGAACUUCCAUCAGGACCUCAACAGGGAUAACACCUUACCAGCUAGUCUACAGAAUGGAAGUCGUGCUCCCCGUGGAAGUAGAAAUCCCUUCACUCAAAGUAUUGAUGGAAGCAAAACUAGAUGAAGCAUAGUGGGUACUGGCUCGAUAUGACCAGCUGAACCUAAAUGAGGAAAAGGGGUUGGUUGCGGUCCAUCAUGGUCACUUGUAUCAAAGACGAUUAAUACAGGCAUUCGAAAGGAAAGUAAAGCCCAUAAAAUUCCGAGAGGGCGAAAUGGUAGUUAAGAGCAUACCCCUAAAAUAGGGACCCUCGAGGAAAAUGGACCCCCAAUUACGAAGGACCAUUUGUGGUUAAACGAGCAUUCUCUGGAUGCGCCCUUAUAUUAGUGAAUGGCGACGGAGAAGAAUUGUUGAAUCCCGUCAACUCCUAUAAAGUGAAGAAGUACUACGCUUAAGUAUGUUCCCCAAGGUUUCCAAAAAAGAUUAUCGAGUUAUGCUUUGAGGUUAAUGAUAAUUCUUAUUAUUUUGUCCCCGUGUUUGUGCCUUGUUAAACGUUCAAAAGCUGGAAUAGGAAACCAUUUGACAGUCUUUGACUAAGUAGAUGUAUAGGUUUCCCGUUCUAAAAUGAAUAGAGUCAAAAGAGUUUCUUUCAAAACCGAAGGGAAAUUCUUAUUUAGAAAUGCGCAACGACUUUUAAAAU